AUAUGCCUGUUCUCCUGGCAAGGGGAAAGGGGAAUUCGUAGAGCUGUUCUCAAAACAAUAGCUCUGAUGGUAUAAAAAGGCAUGUUUGUGCAAGAAAAUUAAGAAAUCUACAUUCCUGCUAAGUUUACAAGUUAAAUUGCAGCUUACCAUCUCCGUGCGGAAUCUGUACCGAGGAAUCAGUACAUCUUUAAGAUCCAGUAAAUGGUUUGCUGCAUUGACUAAAGGCCUGAGCUGAAGCUCACUGAAGUAAGUGGGAGUCUUUCAGAUGCCUCUUAACAAGCACUGGAUCAAAUUCUAACAAGCACCUUUUUCUACUAAAAACCAGCAGCAAAACCUUUACAGAUUACCAAUAGGGGAAUACUGUAAGGAGAACAAAUUCAUGUUUAUACACACAUUUUCUCUGAGGAAUGUUCCCUUAGUGUUGGGGACAGCAGUAUAAUAAAUCAAUUAUCUGAUUAAAACCA
rnacentral:lncRNA from 1 species